CUCAGAAGACACCCAGACACUGGGAGUGC
rnacentral:piRNA from 1 species